rnacentral:hammerhead_ribozyme from 1 species
GUACUUCCGAAGAGUCCCAAAUACGGACGAAACAGCUGUCUAGUAC